UACGAAGGGGGCUAGCGUUGCUCGGAAUCACUGGGCGUAAAGCGCACGUAGGCGGCUUGUUAAGUCAGGGGUGAAAUCCUGGAGCUCAACUCCAGAACUGCCUUUGAUACUGGCGAGCUUGAGUUCGGGAGAGGUGAGUGGAACUGCGAGUGUAGAGGUGAAAUUCGUAGAUAUUCGCAAGAACACCAGUGGCGAAGGCGGCUCACUGGACACAUAUUGACGCUGAGGUGCGAAAGCGUGGGGAGCAAACAGG
rnacentral:rRNA from 1 species